ACGAGGGGUGCAAGCGUUAAUCGGAAUUACUGGGCGUAAAGCGUACGCAGGCGGUUUGUUAAGCAAGAUGUGAAAGCCCCGGGCUCAACCUGGGAACUGCAUUUUGAACUGGCAAACUAGAGUCUUGUAGAGGGGGGUAGAAUUUCAGGUGUAGCGGUGAAAUGCGUAGAGAUCUGAAGGAAUACCGGUGGCGAAGGCGGCCCCCUGGACAAAGACUGACGCUCAGGUACGAAAGCGUGGGGAGCAAACAGG
rnacentral:rRNA from 1 species